rnacentral:rRNA from 1 species
UACGGGGGGGCAAGCGUUGUUCGGAAUUACUGGGCGUAAAGGCUCGUAGGCGGCCAACUAAGUCAGACGUGAAAUCCCUCGGCUUAACCGGGGAACUGCGUCUGAUACUGGAUGGCUAGAGAUUGGGAGAGGGAUGCGGAAUUCCAGGUGUAGCGGUGAAAUGGCGUAGAUAUCUGGAGGAACACCGGUGGCGAAGGCGGCAUCCUGGACCAACACUGACGCUGAGGAGCGAAAGCCAGGGGAGCAAACGGG